rnacentral:rRNA from 1 species
CCUACGGGGCGCUGCAGUGGGGAAUAUUGGACAAUGGGCGAAAGCCUGAUCCAGCCAUGCCGCGUGUGUGAAGAAGGCCUUCGGGUUGUAAAGCACUUUCAGUGGGGAAGAAAGCCUUGGGGCUAAUACCCUCGAGGAAGGACAUCACCCACAGAAGAAGCACCGGCUAACUCCGUGCCAGCAGCCGCGGUAAUACGGAGGGUGCGAGCGUUAAUCGGAAUUACUGUGCGUAAAGCGCGCGUAGGCGGUCUGAUAAGCCGGUUGUGAAAGCCCCGGGCUCAACCUGGGAACGGCAUCCGGAACUGUCAGGCUAGAGUGCAGGAGAGGAAGGUAGAAUUCCCGGUGUAGCGGUGAAAUGCGUAGAGAUCGGGAGGAAUACCAGUGGCGAAGGCGGCCUUCUGGACUGACACUGACGCUGAGGUGCGAAAGCGUGGGUAGCAAACAGGAUUAGAUACCCCAGUAGUC